AAUAAAUAUACGUUAUUUUCUCUAAAAACAUUACCAUAAAAGCAAUUAAGUUCAUAGGAGUUCGUUAAUCGUUCGCAUUCUCCAUUGUCAUUACGUCUAUUACCAGUCCUCUAGAUUGUAAAUCUAGCGAAUCGGUGGCAGAAAUUUUCCCACAAUACACAUUCACAUUUAGCGACUGAUUAAUUUACAUAAUCAAUGGUGAAAAAAAAUCUCGAUUGUGCGCGAUAAGAAUUGCGUCAGCUCGUAAGUUGAACGAUAUGGCGUGACCGGUCACUCGAUCGCUUUCAUAAUAAUCUGCUGGAUCGGUUAGGUGGUACAGUAUGGCUAGACACAAUUGUAUUGGCAGCAAUCGUUCGGCUAACUGCAACACGACGCGCGAAACAAUAGGCUUAUAAUAAAUAUCGUCGAAAAACGACGACAACGACGGCGUUGCCUUUAGCUAAUAUCAACCCUAAGCGGCGCAUAACGAUGACACUUUACGCCGCGGCUAUGCAAACCGUGCGCCCAUAAUACCAUCGGGAAUACAACUUCCUCCCGUAAUAUCUCCGAUUUCAUAAUGCGCCGCAGCCUCUUGGUUUCCUGCUCUCUGAAAUACGGCGAUACGCCGCUUCCGAGGACGUGGGUCAUCGCGCGCGUAAAAUACAAAUGUAAAGUGCUCCAGCUACCACCCCUACUCGUAUUGAUAAGGUAGAAGAUUAUCAGAAAAUAAAAUCAUAUGGGUAUCCUUACGGGCACAAUAAGAAGAGAAAAAACAAGUGGUAAAUAUACAGUUAUAAAUACUUGUACCGUUAAAAAAUGUAUAUUACAAAUGCUUCGUAUUUUGAAUCUUUUUCUUAAUGGCUUAAACAAUUUGCAUACAGUUCUUUAAAAAUAUCCGAAGAGACUCGAAAUUUCUAAUAUCAUAAAAAUUAUCGAUACUUAACAAAGUAUUUAAUACAUUUCCAAGUAACUUUAUGGCUUGUAAACUGUUUUUCAGAAGCGUUUAAUUAAACCAUUUUUAAUGUAUGAAUCAGCAGAGCCUUGACAAUGACGUGAUCAUCUAUUUCGCUGAAUCUGCGAAAUAAAUGAUCACGUCACUGUCAAGGUUCCGCGAUCCCAUCUCCACGUAAGCGCGCGAAAGUUGCAGACGAAUAUCCGUUCCCGAGUAAAUCUUGGUCUAGCAGAGUUUGCAUGUUUUUGCGGCGUGCAAAAAUAGCCGCGCGAGUGGAUCGACAGCGGUCGGAGCUGGUUUUAUAUCGUCCUCUGCGAGAGGUGGGCCUGGGAGAGGAGAGCCCGGCUGGAGAUCGAAUCUCCAGCGAUGAUGCGAUAGCGAGAUGAGGCGUGGGAGCGAACUCGGGCUAAUCUUUCGAGCAGCGCGAGCAGCUCUCAUUCGGAGCGCGUGUCUCCUCCGUCUGUCGGUCGGUCCAGCUCUUGUGCCAUCAAGAGGGAAAGUUCUCCUCGAGAGGCCUGGUCGUGUGCCUUUCUUCCUCGCGCGUCGCGACCGGAAAAGUGCGCACGAGGAAUAAAUCGAGAACGUAAUAAAACACAGAGCGAAGCUAUUCAUUGUACCGCACAAAAUAAUGAAAACGACAGAUCUCUCUCUAUCUCUCCUUUUCUCGAAGGCGCAAUCGAAGGCACGUUUAAUGCUUUAAUCAAAUUAUUAACAGGACUGCGAAACUGCGGUGCCUUUCCCCUCCCUCGUAAAUUUUACUCUCGUUUCCCGUGGCGCUUGACCGUUAGAUACUUUAUUACAAUGAGAUCCAAACCUAUUAGAGAAACUCGGGACAACCGGAUGCUGACUGGCUAGAUAGUUAAAUGAGUCGAUCGACGGCCCGUGCUAACCGCCCCGGCAACCAAUAAUAAUUACUCUUUUCUCAACGCCCCGACUAUAUAUGUAUACAUACACGCUUACGCACAUACGUCAUGUAUGCCAUAACUCAUUUUCUUUCUCGAUACGUGAAAUCGGCGCGCAUUUCGCGUUGCGUCGUGCUCCACUGUCGGACUGAGUUGCCAUAACAGCAGAACUAUCGACGAGAGAUGUGCAUAUGUAAUUGUAUGAUACGUGUAUAUCUAUAUCGCGCACGGAACCCGAGAGCUGAAGAAAACGGUCGUUUCUAGCCUACGGUAGUCUCGGUAACGAGAAGUCGCCAAUCGUCAAUACGCAGGCAUAUAAAUGGUCGCGAUAGCGAAUACAUACGAUUACUGCGCAACGUCAAAGAGAGAUAUGAACGGACGUGAACGCGGAUAAUUACGCAACUCGUGUACUCGCAAGGCACACACAAUGAAAUAUCAUGUCAUCGCGAGCAUUACGAAAUCUGCUCCCGUGAAAAGCAUUUAACCCGCGAUUGGCGAUGUUGCGUCCGCCGCGUGCGAUUCGUCACGUGAGAAGAAUUCGUGAGAAUAAAAAAAAAAGUUCGGGGAAAGUUGAAGAAAAAAAAAAUCAGACAUUCGUGUCCGGUCGCUGUAUUUUUAUAAAAUUUCAAAUAUCCAACGCGUAAUUUGUUUUGCGCUCUUGCGAAAGUCACGGUUCAGUUCACUCAAUCUAUCGCUUACCUUCAUCGUCGCGCGAUGAUCCAAGGUACGCAAAACUAGAAGGCACAUUCCACCGCAAUAUAUGAUAUAGUCAUCAAUUACGCGCCGCGAUACGAGACGAACGUACGCGCUACGCGAGAGAGGGAAGCGCGUAAAAUAAUAAAUAAUCUCUAUUACACGCGCGUACAAUAAAUCAAUGCCCAUCUGGAGUGACGUGUGAUAUGCGAUUCCGGGUGCACUCCGCCGCGCGAACGCAUCCCCGAGGGAGAUCCGGGACGCCGCCUCUGCGAAGGUACGUCUUUGACACGGUGCGCCGAAUCGCGAAGGCGCACGAUUAAUCUUCGUAUCUCCUUCUCGCGUUACCACGAAGGCGCGUUCACUUGCGAUAUCGGCAACAAUGUUAAUUAGUCCGCGGGAUAAUUUAUACCCCCGGCAGUCCAUCGUCAGUCCAGGAGCGGUACGGAUUACUAUAGGGAAGGGCAGAGAGGAUCCCGCUUCACUCGGGACGCGGACGUAAAUCACGAGCGAGAUGCGACGUAUGGAGAAAACCUGGCCUCCUCUCGUCUCGCUCGAGAGCAUCGCCGCGCCGGUUAAAUAUUGAAUGAAGAUCCCGUCUGUGCGCGUGUACGUGUGUAAGUAUUACAAAUACGUGUAUGCGUGCACACGGCCGGACACGAUCGGCGUGUUAGAGACUGUCUCGGCCUCCUGGACGAUGUUACCGGUCAGCGAAGCAUACCACGGCGAUAGCACCCACUUUAUUACGGCGACCGUAAGCAUGGACGACGUAUUUAUCGGCCAGUCAUUCGCACCACUUACCUACUACAACUAGGCUCUCACGACGAAAAUUACGAGCCUAAUCUGGAGACCUAUGUGUGUACGUGUGGGUGAGUAGGAGUGUGUCCGACGAAGUAACAUGUUGAUUAUCCUCGAUAACUAUCUAAUCUUCGAUAAGAUGAAAUUAUUUAUUAUAUUUCGAGGCUCCAUCCUCCGCGGCUUCCGUUUGCUUAAAUGAAGCAGUAGGAUCACCAUGAUCCUUCUUGGACAUUAAGUUCGCACGAUACGCGACUCUUCUACUCGAAACUAGUAUGUUAAUGAGAACCGGCGGUAUCAUUUGCUGUUUCAAUAUAAUUUUUGUCGAAUACAACAGCUCGGCCAAUCAAUAUCAAAGAUUCGCACAACGAUUAACACACUGUGACAAAUAACCCCGACCUGCUUCAGUUACAUUAUUUGCUGUGCCUUAUUUUUAGGCUGACUAUUCUUGUCGUGACGCGAUACCAUUUACUGCAGCGUGGCGUGCAGCACAAAAGAAACGUUGACAACUCCUGAAUAACUCUUCCACCGAGCUGUCGCAGUCCCUAUCAACUUUCCGUAAGUAUUAUAUUUCUACCGUUGUGUUGUGUUGACACAAAUAAUGAUAGAUUAAUGAUAUGCAGAAUCCAGCGUCAUUUAUUCACAACAACAAAGCAAAACUUGAUGUUAUCAAGAAAAUUAAAUGUAAUUUUUCUAAAUAUUCUAUCUGUUAAGCAGAAAUAAACAUAUAAUAAAAAAGAAUACAAAAAUUAUAUUAAUAUUUCUUUCUAAUUUAUUUCCAUCACAUAUUUAACGCUAUGCAAGUAUAGCUUUAUUUUAAUAUUUAAAAAAAAUAGCAUUUAUUUUUUAAUUCUUUACGCCGAUACAAUAUCACGUAAAAGAGAUUUUUUAAAUAUUUGCUUUUUGCCGGAACUAUGGUGUUAUAAAAAAUGGACUGUUACAGAGGGCACGUGCCUUGUGAUUUAACUUAACGUAAUGCGUGACCAAGGACAAGGUCCACAGAACGUUGUUAUUUGAGGGAGAAAGAAUGUUUUGCUACGUGGUUGGACUCCCCGUGGCUGCGCGUCUGAGAGCAAGGGUGGAAACUAUGAGGCGCACGCGAGGGUUGCGAUCGAUGCUAGCCCCACCCCGAUGCAAUCUGACGGGAAGCGGAGGCAGUGUCGUUGAUUCGUAUGCAUCCCCGACUAGACGGAUACUUAGAAGCUGCGAACGAUAGACCGUGCAUUUUCAAAUAUCAACACAGUCUAAUUAUACGUCUGAUUGAUAUAUAGUAUCUUAUAAUAAUAUAUAUUACGUAGAAUUAGAUAAUAAACAUACCGAACAGAUGAGAUAUUGGCAAUAUUUGUCAAUAGACAUGUAAUAAUUAGAAAUUCUAUUCCCGUUUAUUUAUAAUAGCGCCAUACUUAAUAUCGCUAUAAUAUAGAGAAUAAUGAUCGUGAACUCUAUUAUAUACAGGUUCAAAACUUGCAAGUAAUAUUUUAUCUUAAUCUUCGCCCGAGCCCAAGAACUGCUAUUUGUACUCAUAAAUACGAGCGUAGGCGUAGACCGUAAAAAAAAAAUAUAUUGACAGUACCAUUAGACUGGCAUGCCACUUGGUUGUUCCAUGUAUUUACCGAGGCUCAUAAAACCAUCGAAUUCCAUCGAAGUCCAGGAAGCCAAAUAAAAAUUAGGCGCGUUUACCUUCCUCGGUUUGAGAAUCGUUAUCGACGCGUGUAGUAUCCACCCGCGAUUUCCGCGUGUCUCGUAAUUGCGACAUUUCUAAAAUUAUCCCUCGUAUUGCUUCCGAUCAACAUAUUCGCGUGCUACCAAAUGCAUCGCAAUUACCGGGUUAGCAAUUCCCAUAAUGGCAGUAUUAAAACGUCUUCUAAAAUAAAAUCUCUUAUUUCGCACGUAAACUUUAAAUCGUGUUCUCGAGGCUAUUUAUGUAUCCUCCUCUCCACCUAUACAAACAUCCUUAUAUACAAACUAAACAAGCAAUAUGCUGUGAAUAAAAAUUAUAUUAAUUUAUCGAAAUUUUACUUAUAUAAACAGCUAAUUUACGAUCAAAAUCUACGAAAUUAAACUUAAAGUUUGUUUAAUAAUAUAGACAGAAUUGUUUAAUUUGUUUGAUAAAUUCUAUUUCUUUUUAACAAUUAUAGAGAAGUAAGUGUGGUUCAUUAUAGUACAAUUCCCAAACUUAAAAUAGCUAACUGCAGAUAAGAUUAUUGAUUUCAAACUUCAACCCUCCAUUCGCCCUCACCUCAGUGCCGGGGUGAGUGGACGAUUCCGUUGGCCUACUUUAAGCGUCACGUCACAGCGGUUUUUUUUUUUCGAUCGUGACUUUGCAAGCAAACCCUCUCGCAAUUUACACAACCAAUAAAAAAAUUCAAUUCCGUUCACGUCGACGUGCGAAUCAAUGUCGUCGUCACAACAGCGCCGCAUACCAGCCAUUUUUUUUAUCAAUUUUUCGUCGCGCACCGCGAAGUGCUAUCGAGAUUGCGAUCUGAAAUUUUCACAUACGCAUAGUUAUCCCGACUUGACCGACGCGAAUGGACGUAGGCCAAGGUGAGCGAGCCAAUUCUAAUUUGUGAUAGAUCGCGGGCGUGAUAGAUUUUCUAUUAUCUCGCGCGCCGAGAAUUCGCGCGCGGCAACCGCGACCUAUAUAUAUAGACUGAUGGUCUACUCAGUCCAUUGUAUCGGGUUUCUCAAGCUUCACGUAAAAGGCCGGGUACUGUUCACAUCCCGAGCGCUGUUCAGAGUGUACGACUCGAGUUUCCAGAGUUCGGUCGCAAUUUGAAUAUCGGAGCGUCAUUAAACGCAGUAACGAGGGAGACCUGCCUGCGGUCGCGGAUACGAGACGAGCGACGAGAGCCUUACUCGCGCAUUGUAUCGUUCAAUUUGCAGACGCGCAUAAACCUUUCCUGUGAAUUGAACGGUGCAAUGCGGAAUCCAAGCUCAUUUAUCCCUUUGAAUAUCGCGAGUGAGUUAAACAAGCAAGAACACGUGACGUGGCCAUAUUAAAAAAAAAAAAAAAACACACAUGAAAUCGUCACGCUUGUCGGCCCCGACGACGAUGAACCGCAGAGGACAGCGUGGGAAAGAGGCGAGAAAAGUCCAGGGAUCGCGAAACGCUCUUCCGCUCCUGCGACUCGCGAAAGAGACUCGUGGAGAGACGCGAGAUCGAUUUAUUGCCGGUAGUAACGGGCUGGCACUCCUCGGCAAAAUGUCGUCGCAAUAUCCAAGUUUGCUCUCCCGUCUGCAUUUCACGUGUCUUCGUCGCGCUCGCCUCGUAUCCUUUCAAUAUUUUUUUGCGAACACACGUCAUUGCCUACGCCGGUACAUAGGAAGAAUAAAAAUACCGUUCGGCCAAACGUGACGAUUACUUAAUCAGCAUGGUGCACUAAAUGCCAGAUCGCGCCAGAUAAGGCCGGAGAUCGAUUAUGACGGAGACCUAUCGUUAAUUACGUCUCUCGACGGCGAGUACUCGUCCACGCGGAAAAUUACUCCACUUAAGAGGUUGCGCGUAAUUUUUAUAUAUCGACUGUCCGUUGGAUUUGGUGAGCGUUUAUUGCCGAGCGAUUGAUAUAUGAUCGCAGCUUUACGACGUUGCGUUAAUAAUCGCCCGACUUCCACCGCCGAUGAAUGAACGGAUAACGCGCGUAUAAGUAAAUGUCGCGAUUAAGAUUUUCGCGAGAAAAUCUCUUAUGCUAAUAUACAAGGACCGGUGGUAUUUCGCUGUUCGUUGUGUUACGUGAUUUCGUCGCGCGAGUCAAUUACACGGUUAAAUUAAAGUCGGCGAGCAAAUCAUCGUACACUUGAAGCAUUCAAUGCAAAUCGCCGGGUCCGCGCGGCUCGAGCUGCAGGACGUGUAGAUAAUCCAUUAAUGCACGUAUGAAUGUCACUUCGGAUCGCGCAUAACUCAUCCGGGUUAAAGUCUCACCGCCGAGGGCGAAAGUCGGUGUCGACGGCGAUAAAACGCGUCGAUAACGCAAACGCGGCGACGGACAAUCCGACGAUGCUAUACGAGAGAAGAUUUUACAUAACUUGGCGCCAAAUUACUUAAGGGAUAGACUAGAAGUAAUUAGUAAUGAAAAUGGAAGAAAAACAAGACAGGAAGACUAUCGCAAUAAAAUUCGUUAGAACAAAAAGUGCGCAAAAAAGCGUGUGUUAUGAGGGCGUAAAAUUAUACAAUACCUUGCCAGCAGAAAUUAGAAGUUGUGAAAGAAUUGAUGUAUUUAAACAGAUGUUCAAAAAGCAUGUAAAUCUAUGUAAAACAUAAUAGCUGAAAAAGCUAAAUAAACUUCAAUCAAUCAA
rnacentral:lncRNA from 1 species